ensembl:snRNA U1 U1 spliceosomal RNA
AUACUUACCUGGUGGGGGAGAUACCAUAAUCAUGAAGGUGGUUUUCCCAGGGCGAGGCUUAUCCAUUGUACUCCAGAAGUGCUGAACCCUGCGAUUUCCCCAAAUACUGGAAACUCGACGGCAUAAUUUGUGUUAGUGGGGGACUGCGUUCGCGCUCUCCCCUC